rnacentral:rRNA from 1 species
AGUAUAACAGAACUGUGGGGACGCAGAGGGAGAGCACUAGCGGGAAUGGAAUCCCGCGGCAAGCGAGGUAGGAGUCGCGCUGGCAAAUCCGCGUGACAAUCCGAAGACGUGAUGCAUGCCGAACUGAAGUAGGGAAAUGUGUGAGCCAGCUGCCAAGAAAAGCCGCUAUUGUUUGUACUGUACCCGUACCGUAAACCGACACAGGUAGGUGAGGAGAGAAUCCUAAGGCCGACGGGAGGAGCAUUGUUAAGGAACUCGGCAAAAUGACUCCGCAACCUCGGGAGAAGGAGUGCCAGUGAGAGCUGGCCGCAGAGAAUUGGCCCAAGCAACUGUUUAGCAAAAACACAGGUCUAUGCAAAACCGUAAGGUGAAGUAUAUGGGCUGACGCCUGCCCGGUGCUGGAAGGUUAAGGGGAGAGGUUAGCGCAAGCGAAGCUUUGAACUUAAGCCCCAGUAAACGGCGGCCGUAACGAUAACGGUCCUAAGGUAGCGAAAUUCCUUGUCGGGUAAGUUCCGACCCGCACGAAAGGCGUAAUGAUUUGGGCACUGUCUCAACAAUGCACCCGGUGAAAUUGAAAUACCAGUGAAGAUGCUGGUUACCUGCGCCAGGACGGAAAGACCCCAUGGAGCUUUACUCCAGCUUGAUACUGGGAUUCGAUAUUGUAUGUACAGGAUAGGUGGGAGGCGAAGAAGCAUUGACGCCAGUUGAUGCGGAGCCGCUGUUGGGAUACCACCCUUGCAGUAUUGGAUUUCUAACCAGCAGCCGUGACCCGGCUGGGGGACAAUGUCAGGUGGGGAGUUUGACUGGGGCGGUCGCCUCCGAAAGGGUAUCGGAGGCGCUCAAAGGUUCCCUCGGAAUGGUUGGAAACCAUUCGAAGAGUGCAAAGGCAGAAGGGAGCUUGACUGCGACACCGACGGGUGGAGCAGGUACGAAAGUAGGACUUAGUGAUCCGGUGGUAUAAAGUGGAAUUGCCAUCGCUCAACGGAUAAAAGCUACCCUGGGAUAACAGGCUUAUCACUCCCAAGAGUUCACAUCGACGGAGUGGUUUGGCACCUCGAUGUCGGCUCUUCGCAUCCUGGGGCUGAAGUAGGUCCCAAGGGUUGGGCUGUUCGCCCAUUAAAGCGGUACGCGAGCUGGGUUCAGAACGUCGUGAGACAGUUCGGUCCCUAUCCGGCGUGGGCGUAGGAUAUUUGAGAGGAGCUGGCCUUAGUACGAGAGGACCGGGCUGGACUGACCGCUGGUGUAUCUGCUGUUCCGCCAGGAGCAUGGCAGAGUAGCCAAGUCAGGAAGGGAUAAACGCUGAAGGCAUCUAAGCGUGAAGCCCCCCUCAAGAUGAGAUAUCCCAACGUAGAGUUGUAAGACCCCUUGAAGACGACAAGGUAGAUAGGGCAGAGGUGGAAGUGCAGUAAUGCAUGGAGCUGACUGUUACUAAUCGGUCGAGGGCAUAACU